rnacentral:rRNA from 1 species
UCUCGCUUCGUCCCUACUGAAAGGGGUUNACAAUCCGAAGACCGUCAUCCCCCACGCGGCGUCGCUGCAUCAGGCUUUCGCCCAUUGUGCAAUAUUCCCCACUGCUGCCUCCCGUAGGAGUCUGGGCCGUGUCUCAGUCCCAGUGUGGCCGAUCACCCUCUCAGGCCGGCUACCCGUCGUCGCCUUGGUAGGCCAUUACCCCACCAACAAGCUGAUAGGCCGCGGACUCAUCCUGCACCGAAAAACUUUCCAACCCCCACCAUGCGGCAGGAGCUCAUAUCCGGUAUUAGACCCAGUUUCCCAGGCUUAUCCCGAAGUGCAGGGCAGAUUACCCACGUGUUACUCACCCGUUCGCCACUCGUGUACCCCCGAAGGGGCCUUACCGUUCGACUUGCAUGUGUUAAGCACGCCGCCAGCGUUCGUCCUGAGCCAUGAUCAAACUCUA